GGAAUCUUGCGCAAUGGACGAAAGUCUGACGCAGCAAUACCGCGUGCACGAUGAAGGCCUUCGGGUCGUAAAGUGCUUUUCCAUGGGAAGAGAAAGGACUGUACCAUGGGAAUAAGGAUCGGCUAACUACGUGCCAGCAGACGCGGUAACACGUAGGAUCCAAACGUUAUCCGGAUUUACUGGGCGUAAAGCGCGUGCAGGUGGUUUGGUAAGUUGGGUGUUAAAGCUCCGGGCUCAACCUGGAGAGGUCGCUCAAAACUACCAGACUAGAGGACAGUAGAGGGAGGUGGAAUUCCGGGUGUAGUAGUGAAAUGCGUAGAUAUCCGGAGGAACACCAGUGGCGAAGGCGGCCUCCUGGGCUGUUCCUGACACUCAGACGCGAAAGCUAGGGGAGCGAA
rnacentral:rRNA from 1 species